AGGGAAUCUUCCGCAAUGGGCGAAAGCCUGACGGAGCAACGCCGCGUGAGUGAUGAAGGUCUUCGGAUCGUAAAACUCUGUUAUUAGGGAAGAACAAAUGUGUAAGUAACUAUGCACGUCUUGACGGUACCUAAUCAGAAAGCCACGGCUAACUACGUGCCAGCAGCCGCGGUAAUACGUAGGUGGCAAGCGUUAUCCGGAAUUAUUGGGCGUAAAGCGCGCGUAGGCGGUUUUUUAAGUCUGAUGUGAAAGCCCACGGCUCAACCGUGGAGGGUCAUUGGAAACUGGAAAACUUGAGUGCAGAAGAGGAAAGUGGAAUUCCAUGUGUAGCGGUGAAAUGCGCAGAGAUAUGGGGGAACACCAGUGGCGAAGGCGACUUUCUGGUCUGUAACUGACGCUGAUGUGCGAAAGCGUGGGGAUCAAACAGGAUUAGAUACCCUGGUAGUCCACGCCGUAAACGAUGAGUGCUAAGUGUUAGGGGGUUUCCGCCCCUUAGUGCUGCAGCUAACGCAUUAAGCACUCCGCCUGGGGAGUACGACCGCAAGGUUG
rnacentral:rRNA from 1 species